UCCAGACUCCUACGGGAGGCAGCAGUGAGGAAUAUUGGUCAAUGGACGAGAGUCUGAACCAGCCAAGUAGCGUGAAGGAUGACUGCCCUAUGGGUUGUAAACUUCUUUUAUAUGGGAAUAAAAUGUUCCACGUGUGGGAUUUUGUAUGUACCAUAUGAAUAAGGAUCGGCUAACUCCGUGCCAGCAGCCGCGGUAAUACGGAGGAUGCGAGCGUUAUCCGGAUUUAUUGGGCUUAAAGGGUGCGCAGGCGGAAUGUCAAGUCAGCGGUAAAAUUUCGGGGCUCAACCCCGUCGUGCCGUUGAAACUGGCGUUCUUGAGUGAGCGAGAAGUAUGCGGAAUGCGUGGUGUAGCGGUGAAAUGCAUAGAUAUCACGCAGAACUCCGAUUGCGAAGGCAGCCUGCCGCAGCGUUACUGACGCUGAGGCUCGAAAGCGCGGGUAUCGAACAGGAUUAGAUACCCUAGUAA
rnacentral:rRNA from 1 species